GGUGCACUUUGCCGCGCCGCCGAUGGCUGGUGCUGCUAUCGCAGUGGCGCGACGCGCAGCGGUGAAAAAUUACAAAAAGUUGGCCAAAAGUCAUAUUUUCGACUUUUUAGUAGAUUAAUUGUUUAAAUCAUAUAGAAUAUUAUGUAAAAUAUUCUACAAAUCAACAAUCUGUAAUUGCUAUUUUAUAAAAAUGCAUUGGUAAUGUAGAAAUAUUCCUUUAAAGUCAGAUAAUUAUAUACUCAUGUUCUACAUUAUUUUACAACUAACACGCACAUUUUAUCUUCUAUAGAAUCUAUAGCAAUAUUUUAUUUCAUAAACUUUAUUCCUUUGAAUAACAAAAGAUCACAAUGAUUGAAUGACAAAAGUUGACACUGUGCAUGAUAUUAUUCAUGUCAAUUUUCUUUUACGUGGCUGAAUAAUUACUACAGACAUUUAUUGUGAGGAAAUCAAUAAAGUUUUUAUCAUUCCAAACUGAUAAAGAUUUAUUUGGCACUUGUGAACAGGAAGGAUAUACAUGUUUACGUUUACAAUAAAGAAAUAAACUUGUAGAACAAUUUUAAAAAAAGUAUAACCAAAUGGCAAUUGAUUCCUCAAAUAAAAUUACUUUUCAAAAAGAGUUAGUAUUAAAUUUUUAUCUAAAAAUCCACACAAACUUUCUCUGGUGCCCAAUAUGUUUAUUGCACAAUCCAUAUGAAUACAAUUAAAUAUAAUAAUAAGAGCUGUUUGUUAUUCAAUAUUUAUUAAGAUUUUGAAUCUCUUCUUUUUAUAGAAACAAUAUCUAAAAGAAUAUAUAGUGAAUAGCCUGUUGAUAGAAAAAAUUUAAACACUAUCAACAUAGCUGAUCAAGUUUCAGUUCAACAAUUAAUUCAAGUGACAUCAUAAUUGUGGCAUUACACUUACUAGCUUUCCAGAAUCCCCUGCUAACACAGAAAUCAACAUGCAAUUAUUAUCUCAAAUAUCCGCUUUUUUAUCUCAGACAAAGACAUUCACAGUAUCGACGAUCAAUUUUAAUACUUUGGAUACAAAUAGAUCAAUUGUACAAGCAACUAUUCAGAAGCACUCGAAAAAAAUUUUCAAACGACAUGGAGAAGAAUGCUAAAUUAUUCGUCAUUGGCCCUCUUUCCCGUGAAAUGGAAGUGUCUGAAUUAGGUGCAGCUAUUAUGUUUACUCAGCAACUAUGGAAAACAAACAAAGAAGUGCACGACAUAUUGAUCUAUUAAAAUAUUGCAUCGAAGAAAAAUUCUAUACAUCCUACUUAUAAAAUGGACUUGAAUAUAAGAAGUUUACUAUACAGGCUAUGAGAAAUAUGAAAGACGAUGUUAAAAAUUCUUCUAAGAGAAGUUCCCAUUAAAUUGGAAAAAAUGUCUUUCUGCUGAUGUUCUAUAUUUCACAUUUACCAUUUUUCUUUUCUGUAAAACCGUAUGUCACAAAACUAUUGCAAUUGUUUGACGAGAGGAUUAGGUUUAGUACAUGGCUUCACGAAGCCUGUACAGACAUCUAGAACACAAUCUGAAUUUUGAAUACAGUUUAAAAAAUAUAUAUUUAGGAAUAUUGCGGUUGCGAUUAUUUAUCAAUUAAGUUUAAAAAAAAAUUGUCUUUAUUGUAAAAGUGACUUUUCCUAAAUGUAUAAUAUAAAUUUUGUAAAAGUGAAGAAAUUUAUGGUAAUUGAUAAUAUAAUAUGAUAGUUUUAUUAUCUUUUUGAUACCGAAAUAAAUGUUUCAAAAAUUAAAAGAUACAAAUUAGAGAGAAAUGAUAGGUUACGCACCCAUUAUAAUGAAUCUUUAUUUCCAUUUUAGACAAUUUUGUAAUUUAUUUUUUCCUUAUUUAUCUACUUUUGUUUUUGUUGUGUUCUUUGUUAGUAUAUAAAAUAUUAAAUAGCAUACAUGGAUCAUUCACGACAUAUAUAUCGCACGUCAAAUCUUAAGUUCUAAAAAUUUUUUUAAUGAGUUUUUUUAAGUGUGUAAGUGUACAGCAAAAUAUAGUUACUUUUUAAGCGUUGAAAAGAAAAAUUACAAACGAACAUGAUGUGUGAUCCAUAUAUGCUAUUGGAAACUCUUUUCACUAAAUUCUUAUUAUGCAUAUUCAUAAGUAAUAUUUAUCAAUUUGAAUGUAAAAAAAUUGUUUUUGUGCCUAUGACGAUAGAUAACAAGAUUAAUGUCUAUGACAAAAAAUUUACUACAUAUUUUCAUUACUUUAUUUUCAUUCUUUUUAUGUAGUUUUAUAUUCUGAUAAUAAACUUUUUUUUUUGAGUUUUUAAACAUUUUAAUUAACAAAAUCAAUCCAGAUGUGAAGUAUUUAUCAUAUAUCUCUUUAAAGUUUUUCCUUAGAGACACUUCCACAAAAUAGAAAGAAAAUCGUUUUCACACAUUAAAUACACAAAAAUGACAAGUUGUUUUAUUGCCCGUUCUAAUAUAUUCGCACAUCUAAGCAGUUAUGACGUUUGCUUGAAAUGGUAAUAUUAGUAAUAUAUCGAUUUUAUAUAUAUACAAAUACACACACACACACACACACACAUGUGUGUGUGUGUGUGUGUUAAUUUUGUUUAGACGAGAGUGUCUUUGUUAAAAUUUGGUCACUAUUUCAGAAUUUUUAAAAUGUAUGAUAGAAAAUCGACAAUAUUUUUCCUUUAUUCCUGUUUCUUGAUUUUCGUAUAAUUUUUUAUGUUUAUAAUAUAUACAUUCUUUAGAUAUAUAUUAAAUAGCAUUUUUGUCAUAAAAAAUAUUUAGUGUAUAAUUAGUAAAAACAUUUUUUAAUCAUAUCCGUUUUUAGUAUUUAAAUGCAUUAUCUUCUCUACUUGAUGAAUAUUUCGAUACAAUUAUAUAGUUAUUAUUACAUAUGUAAUGUAAAUUGCAAACUUGAAAGGAUUAAUUAAAUCUAUUCAAGAUUGUUUUUAAAUACAAAUUUAUAUAGAUUUGCUUUCUCUUUCUUUUUUCUGUUUAAUGUUACAGUAUUUUCCAAGAAGAAAUUUUAAGAAAGUAAGAACUUAUUAACAACUAUUGUUAAGUUAAUCGAUUUAAUCAAUUAUGUAACAAUAAAUGAAUCCUCGAAAUAAGUGGAUCUUUCUAAAAAAAAAAA